UACGUAGGGUGCGAGCGUUAAUCGGAAUUACUGGGCGUAAAGCGUGCGCAGGCGGUCUGGUAAGACCGAUGUGAAAUCCCCGGGCUUAACCUGGGAACUGCAUUGGUGACUGGCAGGCUUUGAGUGUGGCAGAGGGAGGUAGAAUUCCACGUGUAGCAGUGAAAUGCGUAGAGAUGUGGAGGAAUACCGAUGGCGAAGGCAGCCUCCUGGGCCAACACUGACGCUCAUGCACGAAAGCGUGGGGAGCAAACAGG
rnacentral:rRNA from 1 species